rnacentral:rRNA from 1 species
GGCCCAGACUCCUACGGGAGGCAGCAGUGGGGGAUAUUGCACAAUGGGGGAAACCCUGAUGCAGCGACACCGCGUGUGGGAAGACGGUCCUCUGGUUUGUACACCCCUGUCCCCAGGGACGAAGAUGACGGUACCUGGGGAGGAAGCUCCGGCUAACUACGUGCCAGCAGCCGCGGUAAUACGUAGGGAGCAAGCGUUGUCCGGAAUUACUGGGUGUAACGGGAGCGUAGGCGGGAUGGCAAGUUGGGUGUUAAAUCUGCCGGCUCAACUGGUAGUCGCACUCAAAACUGCUAUUCUUGAGUGAAGUAGAGGCAGGCGGAAUUCCCAGUGUAGCGGUGAAAUGCGUAGAUAUUAGGAGGAACACCAGUGGCGAAGGCGGCCUGCUGGGCUUUUACUGACGCUGAGGCUCGAAAGUGUGGGGAGCAAACAGGAUUAGAUACCCGGGUA